ACUUCCGCCUACUUGAACCGGAAAUCAGGAACCACGCGGCGGAGUGUCUUUUCUGUAGGAAUUACCGAUUUUUAUUUUUCUUUCUCACACUCUGUCAGUUUUACAACGUGGAGGAGAACUAACAGAACGUCAGUAAAAGCGAAGGCGGAGGAAAUAAAGAGCCCUCUGGAACUGCGGGAUAACGGAACCUUAGGAGAUUGGGUUGGAAACUUUGUAGGAAGGAAAGGAAAAUGCACUUGCCGGCACGUGUUAUUAGACGUUAAGUGCUACGCCGGGCUUGAGCUGAGUCGGACAAGCGCCCUGAGGAAGAGUGUUUGCUCGUGAGAAGUGAUGGGCUAUUGGGCUUAGCCUCUCCUCUCCUUCCUUAGGGGCUUCUCGAAGAGAGAGGGCAGGGCUGGAAGGAUGGGGCGGUGGCUACCAAGAAGGGGUACACUGUAGGUUUUUUUCCCAGAGUGCUGGCCUUUGCUUUGGGCUUCUGCCGCUAUUUAGUGAUCUCGCUUGGAAGGAGACAGCCAACUUUUGAGAAAGGUUUGAGUAAGAGCUGAACAUCCGCCGAGAGCUAAACGAGAUGGAGCGACCUCUGGAAAACGUUUCCAGCAAUCUUGGUAGGACAGUGUUAACAAUUCCGGGUUCCAAAAUUAGACUUCAUUAUGAUCCUUGCUGUCACCACUACUGUUUUCUAAGUGGCACUGGGAAAAGCCGUAACCGCUCCUACUCCCCUGACCGAUGAGAUCCACUCAGACUGCUUUGAACAAUACAGGCACACAGUGGGGAAACAUAUUUUAGAUAGAUGCCCAACAUCCAUGCAAGGCAACAGAGAAAUGAAGCGCCUCUUUGUGGGUGGACUUGGACAGGGCAUUUCUGAGACAGACCUACAAAAUCAGUUCGGCAGAUUUGGAGAAGUUUCUGACGUGGAGAUCAUCACUCGGAAAGAUGACCAAGGAAAUUCACAGAAAGUCUUUGCGUAUGUUAACAUUCAAAUAACAGAAGCGGACCUGAAGAAAUGUAUGUCUAUUUUAAACAAAACAAAAUGGAAAGGUGGAACACUACAAAUUCAGCUAGCAAAAGAAAGCUUUUUACACAGAUUGGCCCAAGAAAGAGAAGACGCAAAAGCAAAGAAAGAAAAAUCAACAACAGGCAACCCCACCUUAUUGGAAAAGAUGGGAGCAGUGGAUUUCCAUAUGAAGGCUGUGCCUGGAACAGAAGUACCAGGGCAUAAAAAUUGGGUUGUGAGUAAGUUUGGAAGAGUCUUACCUGUUCUUCACCUUAAGAAUCAACAAAAACAUAAAAUUAUGAAAUAUGAUCCAUCAAAAUACUGCCACAAUAUAAAAAAGAUUCCAGAGAAUUUGACAGAAACCACUCCCAUAGCUGAACUCACUUGGGAAUUGGAAGGAGGCAAUGACCCUAUGAGUAAGAAACGUCGAGGAGAGUUCUCUGACUUUCAUAUCCCUCCUCAAAAGGUCAAGAAAGUGCAGAAGAGCAAUGAUCCCAUGGAGUCCAAGGUUUCUAAUAUUGGUCUAAGGACUAAUCAGGUAAUGGAGAAGAACAAAUCAACACAUCCUGUGACUGCACACGGGACAGCCCCUAGUACUGUUAAUCCUUCUAAACAACUCCUUGUGUCCAGUUCUGGUACUCAGAAACCUAAACAUGUGGUUUUUCAUAAUUCUGACUUUGAAAUUAUCUGGAAUAAAAGUAGCAUGUCUGAUGAUGAUGUUGACUCGGAAGAUGAAUUAAAAAUGAUGAUUGCAAAAGAGGAAAACAGAGAGAAACCUGGGCAUUCCUCAGUCAAUGAGUCUGAACAUGAUACUUUUGAAGUUGUUAGGGAUGAUUUCAAAUCAAAUAUUCACAAGCUUUCUUCUUCAGUAAGCCUAGGAAAUAACCAUGAAUAUGAUUCAAGUGAUACAGAUGAAAUUAUUGCAAUGAAAACAAAAAAUGCUAAGGUCAAAAACAGUGCAGAAUCUUCACAACCAGAAAGGACUGUAAGCAAGAAAAGUUCUUUUCAAAAGAUAGAACCUUCUAAUGACUGUAUAAAAGUACAAGGAAUUAACAGCAACAAAGAAUCAGCCCUGUGUCAUGGAGUAAAGUUUGUAAAUCCCAAAUUUCCACCUGACUCCAGUGGCAGUGACAGUGAAGAGUCCGAAGAAGAUGAAGAAUAUAAAGUCUUGAUGGAAAACUGUCCCCGUGUGAGUCUCACUUUGGCUGACUUGGAGCAGUUGGCUGGCAGUCAUCGGAAGUUUCCAGGAAAAGACAGUGAGACUAAUGGUCCACAAAAUGACAGUCACUGCAAAUUUGACACAACCUCCAAGAAUCCCAAGACUUCUGGUGACCUGUACAAUGGCAGACAACAGUGCAUUCUUCCUGAGGAGAUUGUGGCCUCCCUUUUAGAGGACGAGAAUACUUACAGCAAACAAAAAUCGGAAGAAGAUAUCUUAAAGCCAAAAUUCCAGGCCUUCAAGGGAAUAGGCUGUCUCUAUGCAAAGGAGUCAGUAGACAAAACUUUGAAAGAGAAUAUUGCCUUUAAUACUGGCGGUGGGCAUCACAGUUCCUUAAAACAUGAAGAUCACAAUAGAAGUUUGAUGGAAAAUGGAUCUAAGUGUGUUAAUGGCUCAUCAAGCAAACUGACUUCAUGCCAACCUGCAAAGAAGGUGAAUGACCCGAACCACAUUCAGCCUCCAAAAAGACAGUGUACUUUUGAGAACCAGAACCAUAAAGUAAUGUCCUCUACUAGUUGUGACAAGGGAAGUACAAAUCCUCUCCCAGGUCCGUUGCCAUUGAAAGCUAAAACAUCCCUGCAUCUUAGUGCCAACAGUCACAAGGUAGACUCUGAUGGAGACGCUUGCCAUUGGCCUGAAAGUAGAAAAGCUUUAGAGAAAGAGAGGACCAAUUUAAGCAACCUCGAAUCUCUUGAGAAAUCAUCAAAGGUGUCUCCCAGGGAAGACCCUCAGAAAAGCCCAGCUGGUUUCUCACUUUCUGAUAGUAAUGCAUCCUGUAUAAAUGCUAAGGAUAAACAAGCUGAAGACAACCAGAAGCGAUUGGCCGCCUUGGCAGCAUGGCAGAAAGCCAGGGAAGUACAGAAAAAACUGGUGCAUAGUGCCCUGGCAAAUUUGGAUGGUCAUCCAGAGGACAAAAAAACACACAUUGUCUUUGCUUCUGAUAAUGAAAGUGAAACGGAAGAGACAUCCACUCAGGAGCAAAGCUGUCCAGAAAAGGAGCUGAUGAAAGAAUCUGUGAGUAAAUCGCCUGGGAAGCUGUUUGACAGCAGUGAUGAUGAAGACUCAGAUUCCAAGGAGGACAGCACCAGGUUCAGCAUUAAACCUCAGUUUGAGGGCAGAGCUGGCCAGAAGCUUAUGGAUCUGCAGUCUCAGUUUGGAAGUGAUGAGAGAUUCCGCAUGGACUCUAGAUUUUUAGAGAGUGACAGUGAGGACGAAAAGAAAGAGCUAAAUGAAGAUAAAGUGAAUGAAGACGAGCUUGCUGCAGAAAAAAAGAAAACCCUGAAUGUUGUGCAAAGUGUUUUGAACAUCAAUGUGAACAACCCGACGAACAAAGGAUCAGUGGCUGCUAAGAAAUUUAAGGAUAUCGUACAUUAUGACCCAACAAAGCAUGACCAUGCCAUUUAUGAAAGAAAACAAGAAGAUAAAGAAAAAGAAAGUAAGGCAACACGGAAGAAGAAAAAGGAAGAAGCAGAGAAGCUGCCUGAGGUAUCCCAAGACAUGUAUUAUAACAUUGCUGCAGAUUUGAAAGAAAUAUUCCAAAGUAUGAGCAACACAGAUGAAAAGGAAGAAGAUGUGCCCAGGACUGAGGCUGGUGCUAGAGAGGGGACUGGAAAAAUCAGGAACGCCGAGACACUGGCAUGUGAGCCCGAGCAAACCACUGGCUUUACAUUCUCUUUUUUUGAUUCAGCCACUAAAGAUGAAAAGGAUGCCACCUAUAGAAUCGAACUAGUGAAACAUGGGAAGAUAGUCUGUCCAAAUGAUCCCCGAUUCCAAGACAGUAGUUCAGAAGAAGAAGAUAUUGCUGAAGAAGCAGAUCAUAGCAAGCCAAGCCCUGGAGAAGCGGUUCCUGAGAAUGAGGCCAUUAGAUUUUUCUUUUUCUCUGAGAAUGACGACAGACUUCGUGGUUCUAACUUAUUCUGGAGUGGUAUGGGAGGUAGUAUUAGCAGAAAUUCUUGGGAAGCCCGAACAAGUAGUCUCCUUUUGGAAUGUCGGAAGAAACAUAAAGAAGCCAAAAGGAAGGUGAAAGCAAAUUAACCAUUGUCAGCUUUGGUUUUGGAAUUGAAUGUGCAGACUGCUCACCAGCCCUUGAAAGAAAUUAACCCAGAAAAGCAUUCACUGACAAAGAAGAUAUUUCAUAGUAGAAAAAUAUUCAAACCUGGAUGAUAAUGUAUCAUUCUGAUGACUAUUUCUGUGGAAUUCGUAUACAUUCCCUCCUUGAUGACUGUGUUAAAAUUAACUGAGUCAGUUGUGACACACAGUAUAGCCUCAGCACUUUAGAAGGGGAAGUGGGAGGAUCAUUUGAGCCCAGAAUUUGAGAUCACACUGAGCAACACCCCACCUCAGAACAGCAUCCAUUCUUGUUCUUCACUCCUGACAGGAGGCUUACAUGAAACCUUGUUUAAUAAAUGGUUUGAUGUAUUUGUUUAAGUAUUUCUGACUAUGCUAAAUAUUCUAUACCUCUAAUUUAUCUUUUUAAACUCAAGUACAAAUUAACUUUGAGUUCUGUAUAUACAGAUGUAAGUUUCUGAUGUAAUUUCUGAAGACAAAAUAGAACUUUCUAAUAAAUGGUUCAUAAUAUUUGUGUUUAUUCCUAAUUAAAUACUCUUUACCUUCA